CUUCCAGGCAAUGCAAUGUUUGAUGAGCUAUUUCCAUCCUAAAUUUUUUUGCUUCCUUUUUCAUGCAUAUCUAUUCUCAGUUUCAGACUAAUUAGUUUCGUGUUUGUCGCACAUAUUAGUGAUGAUUAUGAGAAUCUCAUAGCACUUGAUGACAACAACCAUCACAAAGGAGCUUCUGACAGCGAAAUAGACAGCCUACCACUAUCUGUAGUUGAGGGAGGAAGUUGCCGCGAUGAGCUCUGUCCUGUAUGCCUGGAUUGCCCUGCUGAGGGUGCUUUCGUCCGGCAUCUCCCGUGCGCUCACAAGUUUCACAAAGAGUGCAUCGACACGUGGCUUAGGAUGAGGACUUCAUGCCCAGUGUGCAAAUCCAAUGUAUUCUGACUAGACGGCGCUCCGACUGUUGUCGUGAUAGCAUGAAGAAUAGAUUAGGAAGCAUUUUCUGGUGCCACAGUGCGUAAACAACUUCGUAAUGUUGUGUCGCACUAUGCUGGGUGGCUCUCCCUGAACAGAGAGUAUUUGAACGUUGCAUAGCAUCCCUCUCUCUGGUUGGCUGUGAGA